rnacentral:rRNA from 1 species
CGGCAUGCCUUACACAUGCAAGUCGAACGGCAGCACGGGAGCAAUCCUGGUGGCGAGUGGCGAACGGGUGAGUAAUAUAUCGGAACGUGCCCAGUCGUGGGGAUAACGUAGCGAAAGCUACGCUAAUACCGCAUACGAUCUACGGAUGAAAGCGGGGGAUCGCAAGACCUCGCGCGAUUGGAGCGGCCGAUAUCAGAUUAGGUAGUUGGUGAGGUAAAGGCUCACCAAGCCGACGAUCUGUAGCUGGUCUGAGAGGACGACCAGCCACACUGGGACUGAGACACGGCCCAGACUCCUACGGGAGGCAGCAGUGGGAAUUUGGACAAUGGGCGCAAGCCUGAUCCAGCAAUGCCGCGUGCAGGAUGAAGGCCUUCGGGUUGUAAACUGCUUUGUACGGAACGAAACGGUGAGCUCUAAUACAGUUUGCUAAUGACGGUACCGUAAGAAUAAGCACCGGCUAACUACGUG